AUGGCGUGGGAGCUCACCGAGGUCCCUGGCAAUCCAACUUCCCUCCAACCUUCCACGGUUGAUGUGGUGGCAGCGAACAUUUUGCCCAAGGUAACAAAUGCUCUCAUCAGGCAAUUGAAUCAAGUAUGCCCAUUAGAGAAUCUACGGCAUGUCAAGCGGGUGCGUCGGCGUGUUGGGUGUGGCGAAAAUUCUGAGUUAUCAAUCAUCUUAUGCCUUUCCACUGGGCCUGACAAUUGCAGUGAAGGUUUUCCUGAAGAAGUGCAAAAGAUAGUGGACAACUACCAUUUGAGUCCUUUCAUUGCAAAAGUUGCCAGUUGUUCUGCUACAUCGAAAGAAGAGUGGGAGGAACAGUGCAAACUUUGGCCAACAUCUUAUCACCCCCCUCACGACAUUGAUGGUGUAUCUGGAUUUAAAGAGGAGGAAUUACCAUCAAUAUUUCAUUUCAUGAGGACUGCUAUGCAGUUAUCACAGGUGGGCAAUGCUGCCAUUAUUGUUGAUCCAUCAAGCAUGCAAAUAAUUUCAAAGGCUACAGACCAAACACACCAGCGUGAUACUUGUCUAAAAGGGAACAAAUGUGCAAUGGUAGAAGCAGAUAAUGCCAGCUCGUUACCUGAAGCAAUUGAGGAUAAAGCCGAGACUUCGUUGCCAUUGAGCUCUCGUUUUUGCAAUGGCUUAGACAGGGAGGUCUCAUGUAUAGACCCUUUCGGAUGGAUGAAACAAAGGUGCAGGGAGCAGAAGACACUGCCGUCUGAAGGUGGUUUUCUCUGGCAUCCUCUGUGGCAUGCUGCAGUUGUUGCCAUUGAAAAUGCCGCCGAGAGGGAUAGAAGGAUGUUCCCUGCUUCAACUUCAACAACCGAACCAAAAUUAAAUGGUGAUGUAGAGAAUUGUUCUGAUGAUGAACCAGCAAAGCGGCUAAAGACAGUUACAAAAGAUGAAGAGCAAUCUGCACAUCCAGCACGCAGCAGUGACUUAUCUGAAAGAAACAGACCAUAUCUUUGCACAGGAUUUGACAUCUACCUUGUUUGGGAACCAUGCGCGAUGUGUGCUAUGGCACUUGUACAUCAAAGGUUCAAGCGCGUCUUCUAUGCUUUCCCUAAUCCCAUUACUGGAGCACUGGGUAGUGUCUACAGAUUGCACGGGAAGAAAAGCUUGAAUCACCAUUACUCCGUGUUUAGGAUAAAAGUUCCUGAGGCAUAUUUGAAUGGUUCAACUGACUGUUCUGAAAAAUGGUGCUCAAAUUCUGUCUCAUCUUAG
rnacentral:rRNA from 1 species